CAAUCACCGUGAUAGCUGGCCGCGGCAGAAGGGGCUUCCCGGCCGGAGGAUUUAAAGAGCAGCUCUGGAGGGACCGCUCAGCUGGAGCGUCCGACGGUGCUAGGCCAGGUGUGCGCGUCCGUCGGUCCUUCCGUGCCUGUGCCGGAGACCAGCCUCGGAGGCCGCCCGGGCCCGUCCCUGCGCCCGGCACCAUGAAGCAGGAGUCCGUAGCCCCGAGCACCCCGCCUCCCUCAGCUUCCCCUGCUCCAUCCGCGCAGCCCUCCCGGGAGAAUGGCGACCCCCAAGCCCUGUGGAUUUUCGGGUACGGUUCCCUGGUGUGGAGGCCGGACUUCGCCUACAGCGACAGCCGUGUGGGCUUCGUGCGUGGCUAUAGCCGCCGGUUCUGGCAGGGAGACACCUUUCAUCGGGGCAGCGACAAGAUGCCUGGCCGUGUGGUGACUCUCCUUGAAGAUCAUGAGGGCUGCACUUGGGGUGUGGCAUAUGAGGUUCGUGGUGAACAGGUAAGCGAGGCCCUGAAGUACUUGAAUGUUCGGGAAGCAGUGCUUGGAGGCUAUGACACAAAGGAGGUCACCUUCUAUCCUCAAGAUACACCUGACCAACCACUCACGGCACUGGCCUAUGUGGCUACCCCACAGAACCCUGGCUACCUGGGCCCUGCUCCAGAGGAGGCCAUUGCCACUCAGAUCCUUGCCUGCCGAGGUUUCUCUGGCCACAAUCUUGAGUACUUGCUGCGUCUGGCAGACUUCAUGCAGCUCUGUGGGCCUCAGGCACAAGAUGAUCACCUGGAUGCCAUCGUGGAUGCGGUGGGAGCCAUGCUACCCUGCUCUUACCUCACUGAGCAGGCUCUGGCACUGAUCUGAGUUGCUGAGCCCCUGCAGGAAGUAUGAUGUCCACUGCAUGUGGACAUCAACAGACAGCACUUAAGACAGACUUGAUGGAGCUCGGGCAACCUGAGAAGUUGGGCAACUGGGGAUGCUUCUUCCUAUGCCCCUGCCUGUCUGCUAAAGCCUCCAUCUCUUUUCUUAAUUGACACUAACUUACUACUUGAAACUUUAUUUAUUGCACCAUGUUGGUGUGCUGGGCAGGGUGGGUGGGGGAACCUGCCCUGGACAUGGGCCCUGCUGUGCGGUGGCUUCACCUCAAUCUUCUGGUGUCUGACCAGAUUCCCCCCAUAGUGCUGCUGCUAAUCCCACACCAUCCAGGCUUCCACCUCCUCAGGGAGCCUCCAAGAGUCUUGAUCCUCUGUCCAUCCAGACAAUCCAUCUCCAGUCCUGGAAAUAUCAGCCUGCUGGAUGAGGGGCAGCAGGAAAUGAGGAGAGAUAGCACUUCAAGGACCAAGGUCCUUUCCUACCUUUCUCUAUUUAUCCCCUGGGACCCUAAGGCAGAGCUGGAUCUGAUGCCUGGACAUCGCUGCUGGGACUGGGCCUCUUUCCCCUUCCAUUUUAUUUCCCUAUCUUUCUAUCUGUCUGCUUAUCUGUCUGGGUCACUCCUGUGUAUCCGUUGGUCUCUUCCUGGGACUCUCAUCCAUACAGGCUCUGGCCUCUUCUCAGUCUGUUCCACACUGUUAUUGAUAAAUGCAUCUCUCAUUACUUGUA